rnacentral:rRNA from 1 species
AUUAGGAAUCUUGCGCAAUGGGGGAAACCCUGACGCAGCGACGCCGCGUGAGCGAUGAAGUCUUUCGGGAUGUAAAGCUCUGUCCUGUGGGGAAGAAGAAUGUGACGGUACCCACAGAGAAAGCCCCGGCUAACUACGUGCCAGCAGCCGCGGUAAUACGUAGGGGGCGAGCGUUGUCCGAAUUUACUGGGCGUAAAGCGCGUGUAGGCGGUUCUUUAAGUCAGGUGUGAAAUCCUGUGGCUCAACCACAGAACUGCACUUGAAACUGAAGGGCUUGAGUGUGGGAGAGGAAAGUGGAAUUCCUGGUGUAGCGGUGAAAUGCGUAGAUAUCAGGAGGAACACCCGUGGCGAAGGCGGCUUUCUGGCCCACCACUGACGCUGAGACGCGAAAGCUAGGGGAGCGAACG